GACGAACGCUGGCGGCGUGCUUAACACAUGCAAGUCGAACGGAAAGGCCCUGCUUUUGUGGGGUGCUCGAGUGGCGAACGGGUGAGUAACACGUGAGUAACCUGCCCUUGACUUUGGGAUAACUUCAGGAAACUGGGGCUAAUACCGGAUAGGAGCUCCUGCUGCAUGGUGGGGGUUGGAAAGUUUCGGCGGUUGGGGAUGGACUCGCGGCUUAUCAGCUUGUUGGUGGGGUAGUGGCUUACCAAGGCUUUGACGGGUAGCCGGCCUGAGAGGGUGACCGGCCACAGUGGGACUGAGAUGCGGCCCAGACUGCUACGGGAGGCAGGAGUGGGGAAUAGUGCACAAUGGGCGGAAGGCUGAUGCAGCAACGCCGCGUGCGGGAUGACGGCCUUCGGGUUGUAAACCGCUUUCGCCUGUGACGAAGCGUGAGGGACGGUAAUGGGUAAAGAAGCACCGGCUAACUACGU
rnacentral:rRNA from 1 species